rnacentral:rRNA from 1 species
UACCUACGGGAGGCAGCAGUGGGGAAUAUUGCACAAUGGGGGAAACCCUGAUGCAGCGACGCCGCGUGAGCGAGGAAGUAUUUCGGUAUGUAAAGCUCUAUCAGCAGGGAAGAAAAUGACGGUACCUGACUAAGAAGCCCCGGCUAACCACGUGCCAGCAGCCGCGGUAAUACGUAGGGGGCAAGCGUUAUCCGGAUUUACUGGGGGUAAAGGGAGCGUAGACGGUCCUGCAAGCCAGAUGUGAAAGCACGGGGCUCAACCCCGGGACUGCAUUUGGAACUGGAAGGGU